rnacentral:rRNA from 1 species
UUCAAAAGUGAAAGACGGUCUUGCUGUCACUUAUAGAUGGAUCCGCGCUGCAUUAGCUAGUUGGUAAGGUAACGGCUUACCAAGGCAACGAUGCAUAGCCGACCUGAGAGGGUGAUCGGCCACACUGGAACUGAGACACGGUCCAGACUCCUACGGGAGGCAGCAGUAGGGAAUCUUCCGCAAUGGGCGAAAGCCUGACGGAGCAACGCCGCGUGAGUGAUGAAGGUCUUCGGAUCGUAAAACUCUGUUAUUAGGGAAGAACAUAUGUGUAAGUAACUGUGCACAUCUUGACGGUACCUAAUCAGAAAGCCACGGCUAACUACGUGCCAGCAGCCGCGGUAAUACGUAGGUGGCAAGCGUUAUCCGGAAUUAUUGGGCGUAAAGCGCGCGUAGGCGGUUUUUUAAGUCUGAUGUGAAAGCCCACGGCUCAACCGUGGAGGGUCAUUGGAAACUGGAAAACUUGAGUGCAGAAGAGGAAAGUGGAAUUCCAUGUGUAGCGGUGAAAUGCGCAGAGAUAUGGAGGAACACCAGUGGCGAAGGCGACUUUCUGGUCUGUAACUGACGCUGAUGUGCGAAAGCGUGGGGAUCAAACAGGAUUAGAUA